rnacentral:rRNA from 1 species
GACGAACGCUGGCGGCGUGCUUAACACAUGCAAGUCGAACGAGGGCGUAGAGAAAGCUUGCUUUUUCUACAAUCUAGUGGCAAACGGGUGAGUAACGCGUAAACAACCUGCCCUACGGAUGGGGACAACAGCUGGAAACGGCUGCUAAUACCGAAUACGUUCCGAAAGUCGCAUGACUAUCGGAAGAAAGGAUGGCCUCUAUUUAUAAGCUAUCGCCGGAGGAGGGGUUUGCGUCUGAUUAGCUAGUUGGAGGGGUAACGGCCCACCAAGGCGACGAUCAGUAGCCGGUCUGAGAGGAUGAACGGCCACAUUGGAACUGAGACACGGUCCAGACUCCUACGGGAGGCAGCAGUGGGGAAUCUUCCGCAAUGGGCGAAAGCCUGACGGAGCAACGCCGCGUGAGUGAAGACGGCCUUCGGGUUGUAAAGCUCUGUUAUACGGGACGAAUAAUCUUGUGGUUAAUACCCAUGAGAAGUGACGGUACCGUAAGAGAAAGCCACGGCUAACUACGUG